rnacentral:rRNA from 1 species
GACGAACGCUGGCGGCGUGCCUAAUACAUGCAAGUUGAGCGCUGAAGGUUGGUACUUGUACCAACUGGGUGAGCAGCGAACGGGUGAGUAACGCGUGGGGAAUCUGCCUUUGAGCGGGGGACAACAUUUGGAAACGAAUGCUAAUACCGCAUAAAAACUUUAAACACAAGUUUUAAGUUUGAAAGAUGCAAUUGCAUCACUCAAAGAUGAUCCCGCGUUGUAUUAGCUAGUUGGUGAGGUAAAGGCUCACCAAGGCGAUGAUACAUAGCCGACCUGAGAGGGUGAUCGGCCACAUUGGGACUGAGACACGGCCCAAACUCCUACGGGAGGCAGCAGUAGGGAAUCUUCGGCAAUGGACGAAAGUCUGACCGAGCAACGCCGCGUGAGUGAAGAAGGGUUUCGGAUCGUAAAACUCUGUUGGUAGAGAAGAACGUUGGUGAGAGUGGAAAGCUCAUCAAGUGACGGUAACUACCCAGAAAGGGACGGCUAACUACGUG